GCCUGGGGGCUGUUGCCACCCCCAUCAUCAUGAGCCGGAGUCCCACAGAUGCCAAAAGCAGAAACUCCCCGAGGUCAAACCUGAAAUUCCGCUUUGAUAAGCUCAGCCAUGCCAGCUCCAGUGCGGGCCACUAAUGUGAAAGAGGAGUCCUUCCCCUGUCUAAGGUGAGUGAGUGAGUAUUUGGGGUGGCCAAGAGGGGAGUGUGCUCUUUUAAGAUCAGGGUGGCACUGGCCUUGUGACCAG
rnacentral:lncRNA from 1 species